UACGUAGGGUGCGAGCGUUGUCCGGAAUUAUUGGGCGUAAAGGGCUCGUAGGCGGCCAACUAAGUCAGACGUGAAAUCCCCAGGCUUAACCUGGGAACUGCGUCUGAUACUGGAUGGCUUGAGACCAGGAGAGGUGAGUGGAAUUCCCAGUGUAGCGGUGAAAUGCGUAGAUAUUGGGAGGAACACCAGUGGCGAAGGCGGCUCACUGGACUGGUACUGACGCUGAGGCGCGAAAGCGUGGGGAGCAAACGGG
rnacentral:rRNA from 1 species